CUAUUUAAGUGUCCGAGAUGAGGCCGGCCGGGCGCAGAAACGAGCAGGGCAGCGGCGAGCGGGGAUCUCGGCUCCGGCUGCUCGAGCUGCCCCCGCUCCCGGCCCGGCCCGGCUCGGCUCGAGGACAGCCGAGAAUGGAGACCUGGGGGAUGUGCACAGCAACCCUGGUCCUCUGCUUGCUGCUGGGCACGGCAGCUGGGAGCGCGCCCAUCCCGAGCACGGGACCCGGGUGUAGAAGGGAGUUCAUCAGCAUUACAGCGCCUGCGCACCAUGGUGUGCUCCUGCCCCUUGUUGUUCCAGAUGCAGCUGUGGACCCUUUAGGAGCUACUCUGAACUGGCAGACUGAAGCGGUGCAUUUGCAGUCACCUGAAGUGAUGCAUGCCUACACAGAUGGCAAGGAUGACCUUGAGAGCCAGGCAAAGAGAUUUCGUGGGCGAACCGAGGUCUUUCCCGAGGAGAUUGACAAUGGCAAUGCAUCUUUGUUGCUGAAAAAUACAACCCAGAACGAUACGGGAACCUACCAUGGUUACUUUUUCCCCAAUUAUAAUAGCCCAUGUGUUGCAGUAAUCGUCCAACUUAACGUGUCAGAUGUAACCGAACAGGAAAACACAAAGACAGAAGGUGCAUGGACAAUAGCUGUGAUUGUCAUUUUUAUAUUGACGGCCAAUCAAUCCCAAUAUGUGGGAUUGCUUUUUAUUAUAGAAAAUGGAAGAGCAGGAAAAAGAAAAAACCAGGAUACUUUUGUAGACGGCACUUCUGUUGCUCUGCACUCUGCUCCGGAUGAGGCAGGUUCUCCCUUGUGCUGGUCGCAAGAUGGACGUGGAGUGCAUGUCACGGGGCACUUAUCGACCCUCAGAUCAGAGGUGGAGGAAGGAGGAGGUGACGAAGGUGCGUCCGUGGAAGGUACAGAUGAACAAGAUGAUGAGGUGCAUAAUGAAACAUGAAUUUAAGGAAAAAGUCCGAAACAGGACAUUGUUACCACAGAGUCACAGACAGAGUCAUAGAGAAGCAGGGCUGGGUAGCCCUCCAGAGGCCCUCUAAUCCAACCCUUGCCCGAGGCAUGAUCAUCUCUGUCCAAACCAUCCCGUGCAGCUAUCAUCUCAACUCUGCAUAAGAAUACUCUCCGCCCUGACGCAACAUAGGCCUGACACCCUCACCUGCCACAGGUCAAGCAGGGGAACCACAGCAGCCAAUGUCCUGCUCCAUAAACCUCCAGAGGUCCUAAGAAGAGGGCCAUGCCCCUUGCUGCAGUCCAUACCAGUCUGACCAUGGGGUAAAAUCCCUUCCUGACCCCAAGUAUGGUGGUCGGUCUGACCCUGAGUGGAGGGACAAGACCCUGUCGUCAGGGACCUCCAGCUUUGCUCCCAGCAGGAACAGCGGCACAGCCCAGUCGAAGCCCCAGCUUGGCUACAGCCAGCACCCGAUGGCUUGGGGAAGGCUGAAGAAAACCUUGACACGCAUACCCGAAACCGGAAGGAGGGAUGGGGGCAACCAAAGCUUCAAUUCACUUAAACAGGUGACUGCUCUUAUUUUGACUUAAAAGUGCUUAUUUCAGUGUAGUUCUAGCUCUUUGCAAACAGAUGGAAGCUGAAUGCAACAGGCCACUGCCAAACUCAACUAAUGGGCCACAAAGGGCUCUGCAGCUAUUGAACUGAAGUGGGUCAAUUAAACUGGGAUAGGUUUAGAAUACGUUGACAAGGCCUCUGCUGGUUUUCCCCUUCUCUGACCCUCCUUUGCUUGACCUCUUCUCUACAUGUUUUCUUCUUUUUCUUUCUGUACUGACUGAUGCCACCUGGAGCAUGCUCUGUGGGCAGGUGUUGUCUGACAUUUGCUGGGCUGGUGUGGCACUGUGAUUGAUGGACUAUGGGUUGUAUUACAGUAUGUCUGCUUUCAAUGUGCUCCUGUUGUUCUAAGGUGCGUCUGCGUGCCCAUUUACAGUGCAGUAACCUCAAUUACUGCGUAGUAUGGGCGCGUGUCUACACAUGCAUGCCCGGACUGCACAGUAAAAAAAUGGUGCAUUGCAGCAAUGUGGGGGUCAAUUUGAUACUUGCAUGAGUGUAGGAAGAGGGGUUCGGCCAGGGCCGCCCACAGCCAGUGCCCUGGGCCCGGCUGGCAGAUGUGUGGCUCCCCUGGGGCCUGGGCAGGGUCAGCACCAGUGUGGGCUGCUGGGCACCGGGGCAGAGGCAGGGGCAGGGGUGGCAUAGGGAAGCAGGGUUGUCAGGGUUGUCACCUGCUGUGUGUUGGCCCUGUGUUGAGCAUGUGGCUCUCGGGCAGGGGAGGCACUGGAUGGGGCUGUGAGGGUGGGGAUGAGACCUUAGGAUGGCCACCACAUGCUGGCUGCUGCCUCUGGCCUCCGAAUGGCCGCCAAGUGCUGCGAAGCAGGUGGCUGGACUUACUGCACAGUAAAUUUAAGCCAGCGUAAAUGCACGUGUAGACGUGCCCAUAAAUGUAUGUGUUCAUACGUAAAGCUAGGAUAAGGGGAAAGAAUGGGCUAAAGAGACAGUGAAGGCAGGCCUAUACAUCAAAUAAAUACCACAGGCAGGCAAAGACUAACAGGCUACAACCAACAACCCUGCAAGUAAGUACCGGGACUUCUAGCAUCCUGCCCCCAGACAAGCAUGACUCUGGGCAGGGGCAGGUGAACAAGCGCGUGUCUGCUUGUGAAGGGGUGGGGGAGCCCUGAAGACAGGCACUGGCCAGGCAGCUGUGGAGCUCCAAGGGAACAGCUGGGUAGCUUUGGGGCACUGAGGGCUGUGCAGAUUGGAUUGGGGCCAGAAGGAUUGCUUAAUAUUUUGGACAUCUAGCCCUACAGCCCAGCAUCAUUGCCUAGUACGUAGUGCAGAGUUACCUCGGGAGAAGUCAGAAGUAAAACUCCUGUUUAAGUUACACUGAUGUAGGUGUUGUGUGUUCACUUCUGUGCCCGGCUGGCCCUUUUCUCAAUGAAACAGGCUAGUACCAACUUCCCCACCUGUGAUGACGUCGUGCAGCUGUCGCAGGGUGGGGUCCCUAGGGGUGGCCGUGUUACCCCUAGGCUCCUUACCUGUGCCAGUCUUGCCCUACAAGCACCCUCCGUCUCGCCCGCCACGUCUUGUUGGUGUGGUUAAUACAGGGAGGCUGCCCUCGGUCUUUAGGCUUGGACAUGGUCUGGCUAGAUCCUAUUAAACCCUGCUGUUCAUCGACCCCUUGGCGUUCUGCUUCACUGUGGACGGUUCCCGAGUCUCUCAGCCUUAUGGGCUGUAUGCGUGGCACCGGCCACCCCUUUACCAUGCCCCAAGCCUCGCAGACGGCAUUGACGUUGUCCUAUCUAGGCCUUGCUGUGAUUUGCCCCCCUUGUCCUCUCCGGGCUCUCCGCAGCCCUGUCUCUGCGCCCACGCUGGCGCUGGGGUCCCCACGCUGCAGUGGGCCCCCAAUGAGGCCUCCUCCUUCCCCAAAUAGCCUCACCCAAACCUCCGGUGUUAUCAGACAGCAAACGAACAAGAGUGAUCGAACGUGAGCCCCUGGGCUAUAACAUAACUCAACGCUCAAGGCAUGCUCUGCCCCUUUCACAGAGGCAAACUCCCGCUCUGAGGCUCGGUGCCUAGCUGGCAAGGAUGGACACCUUAUGGGCUCCUGGGGUCCCCUUUGUUCGAAGGGGAGCGGAUCUGCCGGCUGCAACACUUCUGGGCCCUUCCUUCCUGGAGGCCCCUUCCCCUUCAGCUGGUGGUAGGGCACUAAGUGCCUGGGCCCAGCCCUAGGGUGUACAUGGGCCUAGGGCCCUGCCUCCUCCGGCCAGCUGACCAGGUGCAGGUGCGGCCAGUUCCCUCGUUAACCGGUUGUCACAGCAACCCGCGCCUGGGCUCUUAUCUGGCUCUUUGUGCUGGUCCCCGGGCAAUCUCUGCUCUGAGAGGAGCAGGCACCUUAGUGCCCUGCGACAGUAAUAGUAUGGCCUGCGCAGAGUGGUCGGUAUUUGCUUGGGAUUGGGAACUGGCUGAUUCGGAGGGACAGCGAUUCGAUUCGGAGAUUCGAAUCCCUGUCACGAUUCGAUUCAGCUGAAUUGGAUCUGAAGAUGUGGCGCUGCUGCAGAGAUUCAGCCAUUCAGCCACUUUCCUGCCAUGGCAGGGGGUCGCACUUGAGGAUCUGCUCAGAUCCCUUCCGACCCUCCCAACUAUGAAACUAUGACACUAAAAAGGCAGCAGUCGUCAGCAUGCCAGACACCAUUGCCUGCAGCUGGUAAAUGUGUUGUGGUGGGUGGAGGUGGGAGGGAAGGGGCAUGGGGGUUGCAGAUCGACACCCCCGCAGCGAGGGACAAGCUGCCCAGCCGGGGCUUGGGGGCGCAGGACUUGGGCAGGGGAGUGUGGGAUGUAGGCACAGCAGUGCUGGGAGCAGGGGAGAUGCCCUGUUGCCGCUUGUCCAGGUGUGUGUGGGGGCAUAAUGCAGGUGUGCCUGGCUCCAGGCAAAAGGGGGCAAGGGGAAGCAGGGCACAGACCCCAUUCCUAGCAUGGCCACAGCUGCAUCCCGUGGCCUCCUGCCCCAGCUGGGUAAGAGAAAGCAGGGCAUAACCUGCCACUUGCCCAGCCAGGGAAGGGGGCGCAGGAUAUGGGCGCUGCCGCCGCUUGCCCAGCCAGGGCAGGGGGUGGCACAGGAUGUGGGCGCAGCAGAGCUGGGAGUGAGGGCUGUGCCACGCUGCCGCUUGCCCCCUUGCACCUGGAGUGAGCCACGCCUGCAUCAGGCUAGCAGGUGCUGCCUGUUUGUCUGUGGCCACAUCUCCGUAUUCAGAGGCUUCUGAUUAAAUUCGGACCUUUGAAUUGGUCUGCCAGUUCGAUUCAGAUGAAGAGAUUUCAUUGCCGAAUCAGGAUGCAUGUCCUCCAAAUCGAAUCGGCUACCAAAGCUUUGCACAGCCCUGGUAGUCGUGCCUCCCGCAGCAGGUCCCCUGGGAGAGGGGGCCAUCUGUCUGCUCUGAAUAUCAGUGAAACUUAGAUCAGUGUAAGAGACAGUUGUAAGUGAAAUCAGUAUUAUUCUGUCAUGGGCCCAGCCUCUCAGCGCACGUCCAGACAAGCCCCCACGUGCCUCUUGCAGCACGCCUCUCAAAGCAGCUGGAGACGCAGCAAGAGGCAGGACCAUUCCUGGAGGCAGCCGGAGGUUGGGUCCUCCAUAGAGACUCUCCGAUAGCCGGGCAGAGCAGCUCUCUCCCUGCUCCUUGCCCCGCUGCUGCAGUGCGCUGCCUGCUGCGGGCGAGCAGCGAUGAAGGCUGCAGCAACCGUGCCCCGGGCUCCAGUCCAGCUGCCAGAACCCGUUGGGAUAGGAAAUGGCAGCAGGGCCAGAUCCACAGCGAUGCCCACAACAAAGAUGCUUCGUCACCGCAACCAUCCCUUGACACAUCCUCAUCGAGGGACGAGCUAGGACUCCCCACCUUGCUGUGUGACUCGCCCCUCCGCUGAUCUUGCCUCAGACUUGAGGUUUCUCCUAGGCGCUUCGAGAGCUGUUCCCAUGGUCUCCUUCCUCCCAUCUGUAAUGCAAAAGCAAACGGAGCGGAGCCUGGCCUCUUCUUCCUGGGGCUGGAAUUGAACCCAAAUGCUCCCGGCCACCAGAAGAGCAGAGACGUCUGAAAAAGUGUAACACAAACUGCAGUCCAUUCUCACGUGGGCUUGUGGUGUCGACACCUCCAUGGAGCAGUGCGCUGGCUCCACGGCAGGCCUCGUUGGCAUGAAUACUCACAGCGAUCCCUUGAAUGGCGACUUUCUACCAGUCCUUGUGUACAAUACUGUAUUUAUAAAGAUUCAUGUAGAGUG